GUAGGGAAUCUUCGGCAAUGGGGGGAACCCUGACCGAGCAACGCCGCGUGAGUGAAGAAGGUUUUCGGAUCGUAAAGCUCUGUUGUAAGAGAAGAACGUGUGUGAGAGUGGAAAGUUCACACAGUGACGGUAACUUACCAGAAAGGGACGGCUAACUACGUGCCAGCAGCCGCGGUAAUACGUAGGUCCCGAGCGUUGUCCGGAUUUAUUGGGCGUAAAGCGAGCGCAGGCGGUUUGAUAAGUCUGAAGUAAAAGGCUGUGGCUUAACCAUAGUAUGCUUUGGAAACUGUCAAACUUGAGUGCAGAAGGGGAGAGUGGAAUUCCAUGUGUAGCGGUGAAAUGCGUAGAUAUAUGGAGGAACACCGGUGGCGAAAGCGGCUCUCUGGUCUGUAACUGACGCUGAGGCUCGAAAGCGUGGGGAGCAAACAGGAUUAGAAACCCUGUAGUCC
rnacentral:rRNA from 1 species